GUUAUUUUGGCAGAUAAGUGUAAAGAUUUUAGAAAUCUUAAAUGUAAUAUUUUACAAAUAAUA
rnacentral:tRNA from 1 species